AUUGAACGCUGGCGGCAGGCCUAACACAUGCAAGUCGAGCGGAUCGUCGGACGGUUGAGUAAUUCCUAGGUAUCUGCCUGGUAGUGGGGGCUAACGUCCGGAUACGGGCGCUAAUUCCGCAUACUAUCAGCCGAGCCUAGGUCGGAUUGGCUAGUUGGUGGGGUAAAGGCCUACCAAGGCGACGAUCCGUAACUGGUCUGAGAGGAUGAUCGGUCACACUGGAGCUGAGAGACGGUCCAGACUCCUACGGGAGGCAGCAGUGGGGAAUAUUGGGCAAUGGGCGAAAGCCUGAUCCAGCCAUGCCGCGUGUGUGAAGAAGGUCAUCGGAUUGUAAAGCACUUUAAGUUGGGAGGCGUUACCAACAGAUUAAGCACCGGCUAACUUCGUGCCAGCAGCCGCGGUAAUUC
rnacentral:rRNA from 1 species